AGCACCAAUUAUGCUAAUAAAUUAGCACGUUAGCACCUUAUUGUCAUAUCCCAUAGUACAUACAUGUUAUUAAAACUUGAACUAAUGCACUGUGAGUCUUAUAAAUUGCUUACAUACCUCACCGAUUUCUGCCAGUCUGGAAAACGCUCGGUUUAGUUCCUGUCUCCGCCUCCCAAAAUGUCUAGUGUAUUCGGAUUGGUCAGAUGACUACUCAACUGUUAUUGGUCAACUGGGAUCGGCGUGUGUUUGAAAGGUUACGCCCCUGACUACGCGUGGGUUUUCCGGUUCUGACUGAGAGUCACAGGCAACGUAAACAAGCGCUAUAUUUCUCUAUAAACGAUGGUGUCUGUACUGCCUCACCACUUCAAGCUCGAUCCAGAGAGUUCAGACGGCCGUUACGAUAUAAACGAUCUCCGUCAAUGAACGCGAUUGGAUUUAACUUUUUUAGGUGUCCUUAGCUCUGCCAGAAUGCUAAACGAAGACGAAAAUGUGUUGCAAAGACAUCCAAAAGGUAAUUAUAACGUACUACAUUACUUUGCAAACUAUAUGGAAACACCAAAUGUAGCACAUAGAAAGUAUUUUUUGAAAUGAUUAUAAAACUAUUUCACUUAUUAACAUUAUUUUACUAUAGUAAACUUUAUUAUAAAAGCCUGCUUACAUACUAUAUUACUGUGCAAACUAUAUGGAAACACCAAAUGUAGCACAUAGAAAGUAUUUGUUGAAAUGAUUAUAAAACUAUUUCAUUUGUUAACAUUAUUUUACUAUAGUAAACUGUAUUAUAAAAGACUGUUACAUACUAUAUUACUGUGCAAACUAUAUGGAAACACCAAAUGUAGCACAAAAAAACUAUUAAUUGCAAUGAAUGUUAGUUCUACAUUAUUUUACUAUGGUAAACUUUAUUAUGAAAAACCGCUUACUUAUAAGUGCUUUGUUUUUACUUAUUAGGUUUUAAGGAGAAUGCAACAUGUUCCAGGGCCUCUUACCUGCGUGAUUCAUCAUCCAGGUUUUGCACAAAUUGUCUAAAUCCCUACACACAGAACAUUUAUUGUACCGACUAUAAGCCUUUGAGGUGCAGGACUAGAAUACGCUUGGAGCUUCCUGAUCAGAUCGGUCACAAUUUUGGCUUUCGACGACCCCUGCACUGAAGAUGGCAUGCAAUCACGUCCUCCUUUGAAGGUCUCUCAAACUGUGAUGCCAGGUCCAUUGGAAUCAGGGCAUCCUUCAGCUUAUCUUCAAAUACCUCAGCAAACACAAGCCUGAUCACAUCAUCCACAUAACUGUAGAAAUAUUGCAGUCAAUAAAUCUUUUGUUUUGAUCAUUUA